GUGCCAGACCGUAGGCUAACCUGAAGACGACAGAUUUUGAGAUCUAUGAAGUCAGAGUCAGCUUUCUUUAACAGAGGACUGCUAGUUGCUAACCUUCUGUAUCAAAAUGAGCCUUCAUUACAAGGUGAAGAGCAGAGGCACAGGAAGAUACAUGACUUCUGGAGCACAUGUGGAUUGUUGGCAGAGCUGAGCUGCAGCAGGAGAGAGCGGAAAUUGUCCCCAGCAAGGACCAGAAGUUCUGAGCGCGCUGCGUCCCCUGCUUCCCGGGCGGCUGACCUCGGGACACAUGCCAGUUCCCCCCUCAGGGGCGCGGCUGUGGCAGGAUUCGAAGAACUGGAGAAAGGGGUUGUUACCACAGAACUGUGAACCCGGCGCCUGGAACCUCAAAUUGGUCAAAUCCAACCAGAAGACAACUGGCAGUGGAACCUGAGUGGUGCUGUCCAGAGGAAGCCCGCUUCCUGAAGCAGAGGACUGAGUGGAGAAGGGGAGAGAGUGGAUCUGAGUUGGGGACAAAUGGAGAAUAACUAGCACAUACUUAACAAAGAAGAAAAACCUCCAAACACGUGAAAAUACAGAAUAGAACAACAAUUCCCCAUCUAGCCAUGAC